GAUGAACGCUGGCGGCGUGCCUAAUACAUGCAAGUCGAGCGAACAGACGAGGAGCUUGCUCCUCUGACGUUAGCGGCGGACGGGUGAGUAACACGUGGAUAACCUACCUAUAGGACUGGGAUAACUUCGGGAAACCGGAGCUAAUACCGGAUAACAUGUUGAACCGCAUGGUUCAACAGUGAAAGACGGUCUUGCUGUCACUUAUAGAUGGAUCCGCGCCGCAUUAGCUAGUUGGUAAGGUAACGGCUUACCAAGGCAACGAUGCGUAGCCGACCUGAGAGGGUGAUCGGCCACACUGGAACUGAGACACGGUCCAGACUCCUACGGGAGGCAGCAGUAGGGAAUCUUCCGCAAUGGGCGAAAUCCUGACGGAGCAACGCCGCGUGAGUGAAGAAGGUCUUCGGAUCGUAAAACUCUGUUAUUAGGGAAGAACAAAUGUGUAAGUAACUAUGCACGUCUUGACGGUACCUAAUCAGAAAGCCACGGCUAACUACGUG
rnacentral:rRNA from 1 species